rnacentral:lncRNA from 1 species
AUGACGGUGAAGGGAUGGACUGGGGCAGGGGAGUGUUGGGGAUGCCCUGUUGUGGGGGAACCUAGAUCCACUAUAAAGGUGGUGAGAUGGAAAGCCCAGCUGAAGUGCCUUUAUACCAGUACACGCAGCCUGGGAAAUAAGCAGGACGAGUUGGAAACCGUGACGUGCUUAGAGAGUUAUGACCCUGUUGCUAUCAUGGAAACAUGGUGGGAUGACUCCCAUAACUGGAAUACCACCACUGAGGGACAUUGGCUCUUUAGAAGAGAUAGGCUAGGUAGGAAGAGUGGGGGAGUUGCCCUCUAUGUCAAAGAGUGGAUAGACUGUGAGGAGCUCCCUCUGAGAAAUGGUCAGGAACAGGUUGAGAGCCUAUGGAUUAGAAUUAGGGAUGGGUCUAACAAAGGCCAGCUGGUGAUAGGAGUAUACUACAGGCCACCUGAUCAAGGGGAGACUGUUGACGAGGCCUUCUUGCUUCAGAUGCGGGAGGCUUUGUGCUCACAGGCUCUUGUCCUUAUGGGGGACUUUAACCAUUCAGAUAUCUCUUGGAAAGACCACACAGCAAGUUGCAAGAGAUCUAGGAGGCUCCUGGAACGCACUGAUGAUAACUUUCUGGUCCAGGUGUUGGACAGAUCAACCAGAGGUGAAGUGUUGCUGGACCUGCUGCUCACCAAUGCAGAGGAAAUCAUUAAUGGUGUUAAGGUUGGAGGCAGCCUGGGUUGCAGUGAUCACGCCCUGGUUGAGUUCAUGAUCUCGAGGGAUGUGGGCCUGGCAAAGAGUGGAGUCAGGACCCUGAACUUUGGAAGAGCAAACUUUAAGCUGUUCAAUGGACUGUUGGCCAAGAUCCCCUGGGAUGCUGUCUUUAAAAACAAAGAUGUUGAGGAGAGCUGGCUGCUCUUCAAGGAUGCCUUCCUGAGAGCACAAAUACUCUCCAUUGCUCUGAAUAAGAAAGCGGGCAGAGGAGGUAGGAAGCCAGCAUGGCUCAGUAAGGACCUGCUGGGCAUGCUGAAGGCGAAGAAAGGUGCGUACAAGCUCUGGAAACAAGGGCAUGUCACCUGUGAAGAAUAG